rnacentral:rRNA from 1 species
AGUUUGAUCAUGGCUCAGAUUGAACGCUGGCGGUAUGCUUAACACAUGCAAGUCGAACGGAAACGAUGGUAGCUUGCUACCAGGCGUCAAGUGGCGGACGGGUGAGUAACGCGUAGGAAUCUGCCCAGUAGUGGGGGACAACCAGGGGAAACCCUGGCUAAUACCGCAUAAUCUCUACGGAGAAAAGAGGGCCUCUUCUUGAAAGCUCUUGCUAUUGGAUGAGCCUGCGUGAGAUUAGCUAGUUGGUAGGGUAAAGGCCUACCAAGGCGACGAUCUCUAGCUGGUCUGAGAGGACGAUCAGCCACACUGGGACUGAGACACGGCCCAGACUCCUACGGGAGGCAGCAGUGGGGAAUAUUGGACAAUGGGCGCAAGCCUGAUCCAGCAAUACCGCGUGUGUGAAGAAGGCCUGAGGGUUGUAAAGCACUUUCAAUUGUGAAGAAAAGCCUGAGGUUAAUAGCCUUGGGUCUUGACGUUAACUUUAGAAGAAGCACCGGCUAACUCUGUGCCAGCAGCCGCGGUAAUACAGAGGGUGCGAGCGUUAAUCGGAAUUACUGGGCGUAAAGAGUACGUAGGCGGUUUAGUAAGUCAGAUGUGAAAGCCCUGGGCUCAACCUGGGAACUGCAUUUGAAACUGCUAAACUAGAGUAUGGUAGAGGGAAGUGGAAUUCAGGGUGUAGCGGUGAAAUGCGUAGAUAUCCUGAGGAACACCAGUGGCGAAGGCGACUUCCUGGACCAAUACUGACGCUGAGGUACGAAAGCGUGGGUAGCAAACAGGAUUAGAUACCCUGGUAGUCCACGCCGUAAACGAUGUCAACUAGUUGUUGGGAGCAUCUUGGCUCUUAGUAACGCAGCUAACGCGAUAAGUUGACCGCCUGGGGAGUACGGCCGCAAGGUUAAAACUCAAAGGAAUUGACGGGGGCCCGCACAAGCGGUGGAGCAUGUGGUUUAAUUCGAUGCAACGCGAAGAACCUUACCAGCCCUUGACAUCCUCGGAAGACUGCAGAGAUGCGGUUGUGCCUUCGGGAACCGAGUGACAGGUGCUGCAUGGCUGUCGUCAGCUCGUGUUGUGAAAUGUUGGGUUAAGUCCCGCAACGAGCGCAACCCCUAUCCUUAUUUGCCAGCGCAUAAUGGCGGGAACUCUAAGGAGACUGCCGGUGACAAACCGGAGGAAGGGGGGGACGACGUCAAGUCAUCAUGGCCCUUACGAGUAGGGCUACACACGUGCUACAAUGGCAUGUACAAAGGGUCGCAAUGCCGCGAGGUGGAGCGAAUCCCAGAAAGCUUGUCGUAGUCCGGAUCGGAGUCUGCAACUCGACUCCGUGAAGUCGGAAUCGCUAGUAAUCGUGGAUCAGAAUGCCACGGUGAAUACGUUCCCGGGCCUUGUACACACCGCCCGUCACACCAUGGGUGUGGGAUGCAAAAGAAGUAGCUAGUUUAACUGUUUACAGGGGACGGUUACCACGGUGUGAUUCAUGACUGGGGUAAAGUCGUAACAAGGUAACC